rnacentral:rRNA from 1 species
UACGGAGGGUGCAAGCGUUGUCCGGAAUCACUGGGCGUAAAGGGCGCGUAGGCGGCUCAUGAAGGCUGUGGUGAAAGUCCGGGGCUCAACCUCGGAUCGGCCGUGGCGACUCGUGGGCUGGAGCACUGUAGAGGCAGGUGGAAUUCCGGGUGUAGCGGUGGAAUGCGUAGAGAUCCGGAAGAACACCCGUAGCGAAGGCGGCGCUCUGGGCCGGUACUGACGCUGAGGAGCGAAAGCGUGGGGAGCAAACAGG